UACGGAGGGUGCAAGCGUUAUCCGGAUUCACUGGGCUUAAAGGGUGCGUAGGCGGGCAGGUAAGUCAGGGGUGAAAUCUUCAAGCUUAACUUGGAAACUGCCAUUGAUACUAUCUGUCUUGAAUGUUCUGGAGGUUAGCGGAAUAUGUCAUGUAGCGGUGAAAUGCUUAGAUAUGACAUAGAACACCUAUUGCGAAGGCAGCUAACUGCGGAAAUAUUGACGCUGAGGCACGAAAGCGUGGGGAGCAAACAGG
rnacentral:rRNA from 1 species